UAAGGAAUAUUGGUCAAUGGACGCAAGUCUGAACCAGCCAUGCCGCGUGGAGGAUGAAGGUCCUCUGGAUUGUAAACUUCUUUUAUCUGGGACGAAACACUUCUUUUCUAAGAGGCCUGACGGUACCAGAUGAAUAAGCACCGGCUAACUCCGUGCCAGCAGCCGCGGUAAUACGGAGGGUGCAAGCGUUAUCCGGAUUCACUGGGUUUAAAGGGUGCGUAGGUGGGUAUGUAAGUCAGUGGUGAAAUCCCCGAGCUUAACUUGGGAACUUCCAUUGAUACUAUAUAUCUUGAAUACCGUAGAGGUAAGCGGAAUAUGUCAUGUAGCGGGGAAAUGCUUAGAUAUGACAUGGAACACCAAUUGCGAAGGCAGCUUACUAUGCGGUGAUUGACACUGAGGCACGAAAGCGUGGGUAGCAAACA
rnacentral:rRNA from 1 species